rnacentral:rRNA from 1 species
UACGAAGGGUGCAAGCGUUACUCGGAAUUACUGGGCGUAAAGCGUGCGUAGGUGGUUUGUUAAGUCUGAUGUGAAAGCCCUGGGCUCAACCUGGGAAUUGCACUGGAUACUGGCAGGCUAGAGUGCGGUAGAGGGUGGCGGAAUUCCCGGUGUAGCAGUGAAAUGCGUAGAGAUCGGGGGGAACAUCUGUGGCGAAGGCGGCCAUCUGGACCAGCACUGACACUGAGGCACGAAAGCGUGGGGAGCAAACAGG